AUACGUAGGUGGCAAGCGUUGUCCGGAAUUAUUGGGCGUAAAGCGCGCGCAGGUGGUUCCUUAAGUCUGAUGUGAAAGCCCCCGGCUCAACCGGGGAGGGUCAUUGGAAACUGGGGAACUUGAGUGCUGAAGAGGAUAGUGGAAUUCCAAGUGUAGCGGUGAAAUGCGUAGAGAUUUGGAGGAACACCAGUGGCGAAGGGGGCUGUCUGGUCUGUAACUGACACUGAGGCGCGAAAGCGUGGGGAGCAAACAGGAUUAGAUACCCUGGUAGUCCACGCCGUAAACGAUGAGUGCUAAGUGUUGGGGGGUUUCCGCCCCUCAGUGCUGCAGCUAACGCAUUAAGCACUCCGCCUGGGGAGUACGGUCGCAAGACUGAAACUCAAAUGAAUUGGCGGGG
rnacentral:rRNA from 1 species